UAUUCCUCUCGUUAUUCAGGUGGGCGCCUGUCAAGAAAUUUAAAGACUGAAAUGUAUUCCUCUCGUUAUAUAGGUGGGCGCCUGGCUUCAACAAUAACUUUGAAAAUAAGAUCCUAUUUGAGGGCGGAUGAUCCCAACAUAUCCUAUUUGAGGGCGGAUGAACCCAACAUAUCCUAUUUGAGGGCGGAUGAACCCAACAUAUCCUGUUUGAGGGCGGAUGAACCCGACAUAUCCUAUUUGAGGGCGGAUGAACCCAAACAUAUCCUAUUUGAGGGCGGAUGAACCCGA
rnacentral:lncRNA from 1 species